GGUGGCGCGAGCGGAAGGGGCGGGCGCGCGGCCGUUAGCGGUCUCGCUCUGUCAACGGUCAGCGUCGCCUUGGUGCCCGCGGCCGCAGUGUCCCUAUGUCGCAGUCCGCGUCACCCGGCCCCGGUUUGCGCGCUCGCCCCCUUCGCCGGCGUAGUCACCGCGCGGGGCGGCCGCCCGUGAGGUAGCUCCCACGGCUUGUGACGACGAACAAAGCUCCGGGACAGCGGUGCCCUCGGCGACAGCUGGGCAGACGGCCCCGGCCGGGAGCGGCGGCUGGUGCGCUACCGUGAGGAGCGAGCGGCGGUGGCGACCUCCGGCCCGGCCCCGCAGUAGCCGCCCGGCAAGCGCGACAUGAGCCUGGUCUGGCAUCCGUGGAAUGCUCCUUGAGCCCCUUCUCCUACUGUUACCUCCGAGGGACGGUUGUCGCCACACCGACACGUAUUUUCCAGAUAAAUCACUCCCUAUUCUUGCGGCUGCGGGGCCGACCACUCAUUUAUUUUUAAUUUUUUCAGCCAGCUUUUGCCCAGCGCUUAUCCAGCGAAACAACUUGGUAACCGUUUCAAGGGAGCGUCCGCUCGGUUAGGGAAUCUCGGCCGGAGCAGCCUGUGGAAGCCCGCGUUCGCAGCGCCCCCUGAGCUGCCUUGAAGAGUGUUGCGUCUUCCUGCAACGACCAGUGUGCGCAAAAUCCCGCUCAAGGAACGUCUUGGUCCAGCGAUGCAAAGAGCUGAAGUCUCAAGGUUUUUCUCUAUUGCUAGAUGGUCGGGGUUCCCCAACAGCUCGGAACCGCUCGGUAGUCAGCUAAAGUGGAUCCUCAGGUGCACGCCCUCCUCUCUCCUCUUCCAGCCUGUCCAAGUGCUUUGGUUGAGUAAGAAGCCAUCCAGUGUCAUUACUUCUGCAAGUGCAGCUCAUGGGUUAGAAGAGGAGACGGAGCAAACACAAAGGAAGGCAGGGCGGUGUCGCCUUAGUUUUCUGAACAGCUGAUGGCCUUAAUAGUUGUAUGCACACAGUAGUUGACAGUCCCUCCAGCUGUGCUCCGAGGACGUGGUUGCUGGAGUGUGUGACCCUGGAGGGACGUGGUUCACUCAGCUCUCCUAAGAAAUGCUGUCCUUUCCCCGGGCUAGACUCAGUCGUCCCUUCAUAGGAGUGGAUCUUCUUUUGUCCCCCUUCACUUUCAGGGAGUUCCUCCUUAACCAGUGGAAAGUGUAAAUUUGUAGUCUGCUGACACUGGCAAGGAGUGGCAGGGUGUCUUCUCCGCUUUCGGGCAUUUUACUCUUGGCUCAGAUCUAGUCCGAGGUUGAGAACAGGCCUAGCCUCAAUGGCCAUCUGAGCCGGGUGGAAAGAAGUGAUAGGAGCCAAGGGGUGAUUUGUCAGUGUUAUCACUUGUCUCUCACUAGAGGGAGUUCUUGCUUUAGGCAGCCAAAACUCCACAGGCUCCUUGUCCUAGGAAAGAGCUAUCUAAUCUAGCUUUUCUGGGUAGAAUCAUGGCACCCAUACUUGGGGGCAAAAGGAGCCAUUUUUCCUGAGUGCUACCUCAUGCAUUUAGUAGGCACAUAGAAAACAAAGAAGCAUCUAGCCAGUUCAAAUAAUGGUUCCAAGUUCUUAUACUGCUGUGUGAUAGCAGGAACUCUGACCUUGGGCAAGUGGCUCUGUGACCUCUCUGUGCCUCAGUCUCCUCAUCUUGAAAAUGGGGAUAAAAUGAUACCUACUGCAUGGGGUUUUUGUGAGUUAACACAUACAAAAUACUUAAAAGAGUUCUUGAUCCAAUAUAAGUUAUUAAAUAUAAUUAUUAUAAUUAAUAAUUAUUUAAUAAUAAUCAAAUAAUUGUUGAUACCGAGUGGGCCCCUUUUAUUCUGUCACAGGGAUCGGAGGUGAAGUGCACUGUUGCUUUGACCCCAUGGAACUUGAUAACCAAAUAUAGAAUUAAAUUGCUGACUUGUUUAUAUUUAUAGCUGGAAGAGCCCGUAUUGUCCUCAAAAUAGUGCAGAAGAAUUCAAUUUAGAACAGAAAGGCAGCAACGAAUGAAGACUAUAAAAGAAAAGAAGAAGGAAUGUCAAAGACUGAGGUAGAGUAGGUAACAUAAGGGAAUUUGGAAGAAAUCAUCCAAUGGCCUGUGGUAUAUGCUGCACUUUUUGCCCACUUGGCAUGGUCUUGGGGGCUAGGGUUGGGUAUGGUGGAAGGACACACCAGUGGUCCCUUGGAAGCUGCUCAGUAACCUAUCCUCCCAGGGCUGUCCCUAGUAGCAAAGUCCUGGCUCUGGAGCCCUACUGGCUAGAUUCAUAUCCUGGCUCUAACACUUGCUAACUAGGUGACCUGGGACAGGUUACUUCAUUUCUUUAUGCCUCAGUUUCCUCAUCUGAAAAAUAUGCAUGUUAAUAGCACCCACUUUUUAGAGCAUUCUGUAGACUCAUUGAGCUAAUACAUGUAAAGAGCCAAGAAUAUUGCCUAGCAAUAGGAAUUCUUAAUCAAUUUUAGUAUCAUUUUGUUAUGCUUUGUGAACGUGGUACCCCCGAGAUUCAGAGUAGGUGGCAGAAGAAACAGUAAAAGAGUAAAAGGGGGUUUGUUCUUGCAUUCAUUCACUCAACACAGGCACUAAGGAACAGGAAGGUGGUUGACACAAUUCAGUGGGUGUGUUUUGUGGUUUCAAAACACAUGAAAUAGAAAAGGAAACUGAUGUGUUAGCCUUUAGAUAUUUUGAUCCUUCAUCAGACCCAUGGAUGGCAUUUUGAGAGAAAUGUUACAAGGGGUGUCAACAGGAUCCUCAAAGACCACCUUGUACUUCUUCCAUCUUUUGUAUAGAAAAUCUGCCAAGACAAGGAGGGUAACCCAGAGGAAACCGCCUUCAGGGCCUGGUAAGAAAGACUGGAGGUUCUGUUCAGCCAUUGCUUCCCAGCCUCAGCAAAGGCCACCUGUGUAGGGCAGCAAACUUGCUCCUCUCCCUGUCAAUCCUACUUCCUUCUCAGAUUCUCUAAGAUCCUAAAGAGCUCAGGCUUCAUAAUUUUUAAAUGUCAACAGCCAAAGUUCAAGAAAUAAGUUAAUUAAAGCCACUUGAGACAAGGGUAUAUGAAGUGAGCAGUUGCAGCCAACUCCUUCAAAUGUGGCCAAAAUUGUAUAAAGGCCUAACUGAUACCAAAUAACACUUCACCCCAACCUCCCUCCUCGUCAAAAUUACCCUCUUCCCGAUAAUCUCCUCCUCCUUGUACUUAGAGAGAUGGUUAUACUCCCAAAAUGAAUUUUUAACAUUCUCUCUUCCAGUUUGCCUGUUAUGCCUUCGAGAACCUGGGGAUCCUGAAAAAUUGGGGGAAUUUCUUCAGAAAGGCGAUCUCAGCAUGCAUUACUUCUGUCUUAUCCUAUCUAGCAAGCUGCCUCAGAGGGCCCAGUCCAACAGAGGUUUCUAUGGAUUUCUGCCUGAAGACAUCAAAAAGGAGGCAGCCCGGGCUUCUAUGAAGACCUGCUUUGUGUGCAAGAAAAAGGGAGCUGCCAUCAACUGCCAGAAGGAUCACUGCAUCAGAAACUUCCAUCUUCCUUGUGGCCAAGAAAGGGGUUGCCUUUCACAAUUUUUUGGAGAGUACAAAAAUAUGCCCACACGUCAGCAAAGCAUUUCUUCAAAUGUCCGCAGUGUAACAAUCGAGAAGAGUUUCCUCAAGAAAUGCUAAGAAUGGGAAUUCAUAUUCCAGACAGAGAUGCUGCCUGGGAACUCGAGCCAGGGGCUUUCUCGGAGUUGUAUCAGCGUUAUCAGCAUUGUGAUGCCCCCAUCUGUCUGUAUGAACAAGGCAGAGACAGCUUUGAGGAUGAAGGGAGGUGGUGCCUCAUUCUGUGUGCUACGUGCGGAUCCCACGGAACUCAUAGGGACUGCUCCUCUCUUAGAUCCAACAGUAAAAAAUGGGAGUGUGAGGAGUGUGCAUCUUCUGCUGAAGCCACAGGAUCGCAUCCAGGAUACCACAUUGCAUUGAGUCGUCAUGUCUCCUUAGGUUCCUCUUGGCUGUAACAGUUUGUCAGAUUUUCCUUGUUUUUGAUGACCUUGACAGUUUUGAGGAGUACUGGUCAGGUAUUUUGUAGAGUGCCAUUCAAUUGGGAUUUUUCUGAUGUUUUUCUCAUGAUUAGACUAGGGUUAUGGGUUUCGGGGAGGAAGACCACAUAGAUAAAGUGCCAUUUUCAUUGUAUCAUAUUGAAGUUACAUACUAUCAGCAUGACAUCUCUGUUGAUGUUGAUCUUGAUCAUCUGGCCAAGGUAGUGUCUGUCAGGUUUUUCCACUGUAAAGUUACUCCUUUCCCCCCUUUCCAUACUGUAGCUUUUAGAAGGAGGUUACUCUGUGUAUCCCACAAUUAAUGAGUAGGGAUUUAGGCCCCCUCCCUCCUUGAGGACAGAGUAUCUACUUAAAUUAUUUGGAAUUCUGUGUGGAAAAUUAACCUAUUCUCUCCCACUUACUUAUUUUUUCAAUCAUUUAUUUAUAUCAGUAUGGACUCAUGGAUAUGUAUAGUAUACUUUGGGUUAUAAUCCAAUACUACUUUAUUUUGUUGCUCAAAUUCUUCUGGUUUUGGGCAUUGGGAGCUCUUGUGUUCUUUUCACAUACCCCUAUUAUUGUGUGUUUUGUUUCAUUUUUUGAACAUGUCUUUACUUUUUGGCACUAUAAGAUGCCCCAGGCUCAUCUUGCAUAUUUAAAAUACCUGUUUUCACAAAUGACAUGUCUAUUAGAAUUAAUUACUGUUUUAUAACUUAGGACCUAGAACAGAUAGUUCACUUGGGGAGGGUAGAAAUAGAUCUUAAA